rnacentral:rRNA from 1 species
CGGUAGGGUAUUGGCCUACCGUGGCAAUGACGGGUAACGGGGAAUUAGGGUUCGAUUCCGGAGAGGGAGCCUGAGAAACGGCUACCACAUCUAAGGAAGGCAGCAGGCGCGCAAAUUACCCAAUCCUAAUACAGGGAGGUAGUGACAAGAAAUAACAAUACAGGACUUUUUGGUUUUGUAAUUGGAAUGAGUUAAGUAUAAACCCCUUUACAAGUAUCAAUUGGAGGGCAAGUCUGGUGCCAGCAGCCGCGGUAAUUCCAGCUCCAAUAGCGUAUAUUAAAGUUGUUGCAGUUAAAAAGCUCGUAGUUGGAUUUCUGUUAAUAAUUUAUAUAAAAUAUUUUGAUGAAUAUUUAUAUAAUAUUAACAUAAUUCAUAUUACUAUAUUUUUUAGUAUAUGAAAUUUUACUUUGAGAAAAUUAGAGUGCUUAAAGCAGGCAUAUGCCUUGAAUACUCCAGCAUGGAAUAAUAUUAAAGAUUUUUAUCUUUCUUAUUGGUUCUAAGAUAAGAAUAAUGAUUAAUAGGGACAGUUGGGGGCAUUUGUAUUUAACAGUCAG